rnacentral:rRNA from 1 species
AGCAGCCGCGGUAAUUCCAGCUCCAAUAGCGUAUAUUAAAGUUGUUGCAGUUAAAAAGCUCGUAGUUGAAUUUCGGGGUUAGUAGGUUGGUCGUGCCACUGGUACGUACUGGUCUCACUGACUCCUCCUUCCUGAUGAACUGUAAUGCCAUUAAUUUGGUGUUGCGGGGAAACUGGACUGUUACUUUGAAAAAAUUAGAGUGUUUAAAGCAAGCUAACGCUUGAAUACAUUAGCAUGGAAUAAUGAAAUAGGACGUUCGAUCCUAUUUUGCUGGUUUCUAGGAUUGACGUAAUGAUUAAUAGGGAUAGUUGGGGGCAUUAGUAUUCAAUUGUCAGAGGUGAAAUUCUUGGACUUAUUGAAGACUAACUACUGCGAAAGCAUUUGCCAAGGAUGUUUUCAUUAAUCAAGAACGAAAGUUAGGGGAUCGAAGACGAUCAGAUACCGUCGUAGUCUUAACCAUAAACUAUGCCGACUAGGGAUCGGAUGAUGUUAAUUUUUAAUGACUCAUUCGGCGCCUUAA